AUGGCAGCAUAUGCGCCUAGAGGAACACUGGAGAUCAUGGAGGCUAGGAAGGCUCCUAAAACAGCAAAUGGCCAGAGAAGAAUAGCAAGACCAGCGAAUGGCACACACACUGUCUCAAGAAAAGGUCCUUCUCUGCCAACUAGAUCUUCAAUAAGUCGCUUCCAUCCUUUGAAAAGCAUCACAGGGAACUUGUACAAGGCAAUUGCUGUGAACAUUAUCCCAUCCAUUAAGAGUCCACAUGCGGCAGCGAGUACUGCGCCAGGAAUAUCAAGCACUCUGGGAAAAUGCAGAGUUAACUGUUUGAAUUUGUUCAACAGAAUUCUUCGAGAAAAAAUACAUCAACAUAGAGUAUUUAAAUAUUGGAUAUAG
rnacentral:rRNA from 1 species